GGCAUUUCGCACCGACUAUGUCUGGGCGCUUGGACUGAAAAGUCGUCCGUCCCCCAAAAAAUAAAAUGUUACCAGAAAACCCUACCAGAACCCCAGAGUCACACCAGUAACUGGUUUCGACCAGAUCUCAUUCUGUCUCCGACUGAAGCGAAAAAGGGUUUCGAUUAUUGUGUUGUUCUGAAGAAGUUUUGUUUUGAUUCUCUUUCCUAAUUGAUAUAUAAUUUAAAGAAAAAUUCAUCAAGGUCUCUCCUUGAGUCCUCUCCGGUAAAAGAAGAUGCCGCUUGGACAGAGGGUUGGAGAUUAAAGCGACUCACGGUACCGUGGAGUCAUUAUCGACUUUGAUGAUGAGAACAUGCCUUAUGUUUUAGCUUUCAAUGUUUGGUGGUUUCGAUUCUAUCGUGGCUCCACUGGGAAGAAGUGAUGGAAAGAGUUCUGGACGUCGUUAAGAGCUUCACCAAGGGAAGAAGUGAUGGAAAGAGUUCUGGACGUUUCCAUGGUCAGUUCCUUAUCAGAAUAAUUUCUCUGUUUUGUGGCCAAUAUCGGGUUUUAGUCUGAAUUACCUGGAACUACUGGGAAUUGAUCAAGAUUCAGGUUUGCAAAUAUAGCUAUUAGACUAAAAUUUGUUGUGUAUAUCGUGGCUUCAGCUCUGGUAUGAAAAUUACGUAAAGAUAGAUAUUGUUCCAUAUUAACACCAAAAUAGUUCAUCACAAAGAAUAUUAAAAUAGACAAAUUAAUUUUGGAAAUGAAACGGGUUCUAACAUAAAAGCCUAAUCAACAAUGUUGGUGUCAUUGGAAGCUGCAAUGUAUGUCGUGAUAGUGGCUUAUUGUUGGCAAUGCUUGUUUUUAGGAAUGGGGAAGGAAGACAAGAAAAAGAAAAGAAAAGAAA